CACAGAGGACACAGUACGAGUGUUUGCAGCGGAGCUGGGAUGUGCGCUCGGAUUUCUGCAUGACUUUGGGAUCAUCCACCGAGAUGUGAAGUUGGAGAAUAUCCUGCUGACAGACGACGGACACCUCCGUUUGGCUGACUUUGGUUUGUCCCGUCGCCUGGAGAGAGGAGGAAGAGCUUUUACCAUUUGUGGAACCAUCCAAUAUAUGG